GAGGUAGUAGUUUAAUUAGGUAAAACGUGGAGUAUAGUAAUUAUGCAAUUACCAAAAGGUCAAGUGUGAUUUACUCCACUGAGGGACUCCAAGAUGCAGGUUCGAUUCCUGUCUGUUUCA
rnacentral:tRNA from 3 species